rnacentral:rRNA from 1 species
UACGUAGGGUGCAAGCGUUGUCCGGAAUUAUUGGGCGUAAAGAGCUCGUAGGCGGUCUGUCGCGUCGGAUGUGAAAACCCAGGGCUCAACCCUGGGCCUGCAUUCGAUACGGGCAGACUAGAGUUCGGUAGGGGAGACUGGAAUUCCUGGUGUAGCGGUGAAAUGCGCAGAUAUCAGGAGGAACACCGGUGGCGAAGGCGGCUCUCUGGGACGGUACUGACGCUGAGACGCGAAAGCGUGGGGAGCGAACAGG